CUACGGGCCGCUGCAGUCGAGAAUCUUCGGCAAUGGACGAAAGUCUGACCGAGCGACGCCGCGUGCGGGAUGAAGGCCUUCGGGUUGUAAACCGCUGUCAGAGGGAAGGAAAUUUUGACCGAUCCUCAAAGGAAGUACGGGCUAAGUUCGUGCCAGCAGCCGCGGUAAGACGAACCGUACAAACGUUAUUCGGAAUCACUGGGCUUAAAGGGUGCGUAGGUGGUCUAUUAAGUUGGGUGUGAAAUCCCUCGGCUCAACCGAGGAACUGCGCUCAAUACUGGUAGACUUGAGGGAGAUAGAGGUGAGCGGAACUGAUGGUGGAGCGGUGAAAUGCGUCGAUAUCAUCGGGAACACCUGUGGCGAAAGCGGCUCACUGGAUCUCUUCUGACACUGAGGCACGAAAGCUAGGGGAGCGAACGGGAUUAGAUACCCCCGUAGUC
rnacentral:rRNA from 1 species